rnacentral:rRNA from 1 species
UGGGGAAUAUUGCACAAUGGGCGCAAGCCUGAUGCAGCCAUGCCGCGUGUAUGAAGAAGGCCUUCGGGUUGUAAAGUACUUUCAGCGGGGAGGAAGGGAGUAAAGUUAAUACCUUUGCUCAUUGACGUUACCCGCAGAAGACGCACCGGCUAAAUCCGUGCCAGCAGCCGCGGUAAUACGGAGGGUGCAUGAGUUAAUCGGAAUUACUGGGCGUAAAGCGCACGCUGGCGGUUUGUUAAGUAAGAUGUGAAAUCCCCGGGCUCAACCUGGGAACUGCAUCUGAUACUGGCGAGCUUGAGUCUCGUAGAGGGGGGUAGAAUUCCAGGUGUAGCGGUGAAAUGCGUAGGGAUCUGGAGGAAUACCGGUGGCGAAGGCGGCCCCCUGGACGAAGACUGACGCUCAGGUGCGAAAGCGUGGGGAGCAAACAGG